rnacentral:rRNA from 1 species
UGGGGAAUAUUGGACAAUGGGGGCAACCCUGAUCCAGCAAUGCCGCGUGUGUGAAGAAGGUCUUCGGAUUGUAAAGCACUUUCGACGGGGACGAUGAUGACGGUACCCCGUAGAAGAAGCCCCGGCUAACUUCGUGCCAGCAGCCGCGGUAAUACGAAGGGGGCUAGCGUUGCUCGGAAUGACUGGGCGUAAAGGGCGUGUAGGCGGUUUACACAGUCAGAUGUGAAAUCCCCGGGCUUAACCUGGGAGCUGCAUUUGAUACGUGUAGACUAGAGUGUGAGAGAGGGUUUGUGGAAUUCCCAGUGUAGAGGUG